rnacentral:rRNA from 1 species
CAGCCGCGGUAAUUCCAGCUCCAAUAGCGUAUAUUAAAGUUGUUGCAGUUAAAAAGCUCGUAGUUGAAUUUCGGGGUUAGUAGGUUGGUCAUGCCUCCGGUAUGUACUGAUCUCACUGAUUCCUCCUUCCUUAUGAACCGUAAUGCCAUUAAUUUGGUGUUGCGGGGAAUUUGGACUGUUACUUUGAAAAAAAUUAGAGUGUUUAAAGCAGGCUAACGCUUGAAUACAUUAGCAUGGAAUAAUGAAAUAGGACGUUCGAUCUUUAUUUUUGUUGGUUUCUAGGAUUGGCGUAAUGAUUAAUAGGGAUAGUUGGGGGGCAUUAGUAUUCAAUUGUCAGAGGUGAAAUUCUUGGAUUUAUUGAAGACUAACUACUGCGAAAGCAUUUUGCCAAGGAUGUUUUCAUUAAUCAAGAACGAAAGUUAGGGGAUCGAAGACGUCAGAUACCGUCGUAGUCUUAACCAUAACUAUGCCGACUAGGGAUCGGAUGAUGUUAAUUUUAUAAUGACUCAUUCGGCGCCUUACGGGAAAC